rnacentral:rRNA from 1 species
GAUGAACGCUGGCGGCGUGCCUAAUACAUGCAAGUCGAGCGAACAGACGAGGAGCUUGCUCCUCUGACGUUAGCGGCGGACGGGUGAGUAACACGUGGAUAACCUACCUAUAAGACUGGGAUAACUUCGGGAAACCGGAGCUAAUACCGGAUAAUAUAUUUAACCGCAUGGUUCAAUAGUGAAAUACGGUUUUGCUGUCACUUAUAGAUGUAUCCGCGCCGCAUUAGCUAGUUGGUAAGGUAACGGCUUACCAAGGCGACGAUGCGUAGCCGACCUGAGAGGGUGAUGGGCCACACUGGAACUGAGACGCGGUCCAGACUCCUACGGGAGGCAGCAGUAGGGAAUCUUCCGCAAUGGGCGAAAGCCUGACGGAGCAACGCCGCGUGAGUGAUGAAGGUCUUCGGAUCGUAAAACUCUGUUAUUAGGGAAGAACAAAUGUGUAAGUAACUAUGCACGUCUUGACGGUACCUAAUCAGAAAGCCACGGCUAACUACGUG